rnacentral:sRNA from 1 species
CAGCGCGUGGAUAUUUUCUUAUUCAAGUGGUGUUCUGUGCAUUUGGUGUCAAUCAACGUUGAAAUCGUACCAGCAGUUCAUUCACGUGAAUUGAAGCAGAAUUGCGGUUUACCGAGCAGCUUAUUGGCAGGUGAAGAAAAUGGAUAUUAGCAGUUCAUGAAUUUGAUUCGUUGAUUUAUUCCUUCAAGCGUUGAUGUUCCACUAUGGUGUAAUUAAAUCCAUUUCAAUUUCCUGAACAAUUAUGGGUGGUCGGUUCAAUUAGUUGAAGCG